AGCUUUGUGCAAUGGCAGUAUCAUAGCCAAUGUGGUUUAUCCGAGGCUUGAUUAUUGCUAAUUGAAAACUUUUCCCAAAAUCCAUGGGCUCUAGUGGUAUGAUAUAUCAUAUUUUGUAACAGUUUUGUGACA
ensembl:snRNA U4 U4 spliceosomal RNA